rnacentral:rRNA from 1 species
UACGUAGGGUGCGAGCGUUAAUCGGAAUUCCUGGGCGUAAAGCGUGCGCAGGCGGUUUUGUAAGCCGGAUGUGAAAUCCCCGGGCUUAACCUGGGAAUGGCAUUCGGGACUGCAAGGCUGGAGUGCGGCAGAGGAGACUGGAAUUCCUGGUGUAGCAGUGAAAUGCGUAGAUAUCAGGAGGAACACCGAUGGCGAAGGCAGGUCUCUGGGCUGACACUGACGCUCAUGCACGAAAGCGUGGGGAGCAAACAGG